rnacentral:rRNA from 1 species
AUUGAACGCUGGCGGCAGGCCUAACACAUGCAAGUCGAGCGAGCGGCGGACGGGUGAGUAAUGUCUGGGAAACUGCCUGAUGGAUGGGGAUAACUACUGGAAACGGUAGCUAAUUCCGCAUACCAUCAGAUGUGCCCAGAUGGGAUUAGCUAGUAGGUGGGGUAAUGGCUCACCGAGGCGACGAUCCCUAGCUGGUCUGGGAGGAUGACCAGCCACACUGGGACUGAGACACGGUCCAGACGCCUACGGGAGGCAGCGGUGGAGAAUAGUGCACAAUGGGAGAAAGCGUGAUGCAGCCAUGCCGCGUGUGUGAAGAGGGCCUUCGGGUUGUAAAGCACUUUCAGCGGGGAGGCGUUACCCGCAGAAGAAGCACCGGCUAACUCCGUGCCAGCAGCCGCGGUAAUUC